CCCCCAGCGGAAAAAUGGCCAAAAAACGGGUGGGCUAUAGCCUUGGUGGGGGGCGCGGGCGAAGUUCGUCCGCCGGACUCGGAAUGGGGCGAGACUUUGUGAGGGGCCUCGGGGUACCAAAAAUAAGCCGCGGGAAAAGCCGCGCCCAAAAAUAAGCGCCCGAAGGUCGUGGUGCCAAAACCCCCCAGCGGAAAGAAGGCCAAAAAACGGGUGGGCUAUAGCCUUGGUGGGGGGCGCGGGCGAAGUUCGUCCGCCGGACUCGGAAUGGGGUGAGACUAUGCGAGGGGCCUCCGGGUGCCCGCGGGAAGUCGCGGCCACAGCCGCGCCCAAAAAUAAGCGCCCGAAGGUCGUGGUGCCAAAACCCCCCAGCGGAAAAAUGGCCAAAUAACGGGUGGGCUAUAGCCUUGGUGGGGGGCGCGGGCGAAGUUCGUCCGCCGGACUCGGAAUGGGGCGAGACUUUGCGAGGGGCCUCGGGGUGCCCGCGGGAAGUCGCGGGCACAGCCGCGUCCAAAAAUAAGCGCCCGAAGGUCGUGGUGCCAAAACCCCCCAGCGGAAAAAUGGCCAAAAAAACGGGUGGGCUAUAGCCUUGGUGGGGGGCGCGGGCGAAGUUCGUCCGCCGGACUCGAAAUGGGGCGAGACUUUGCGAGGGUCCUCGGGGCACCAAAAAUAAGCCGCGGGCAAAGCUGCG
rnacentral:lncRNA from 1 species